GACGAACGCUGGCGGCGUGCUUAACACAUGCCAGUCGAACGGUGAAGCGCCUUCCUUUUUGGUGGGUGUGGAUGAGUGGCGAACGGGUGAGUAACACGUGAGUAACCUGCCCCCUUCUUCUGGAUAACCGCAUGAAAGUGUGGCUAAUACGGGAUAUUCUGGGUCUGUCGCAUGAUGGGUCUGGGAAAGAUAUUGUUUCGGUGGGGGAUGGGCUCGCGGCCUAUCAGCUUGUUGGUGGGGUGAUGGCCUACCAAGGCGGUGACGGGUAGCCGGCCUGAGAGGGUGGACGGUCACACUGGGACUGAGACACGGCCCAGACUCCUACGGGAGGCAGCAGUGGGGAAUAUUGCACAAUGGGCGCAAGCCUGAUGCAGCGACGCCGCGUGAGGGAUGGAGGCCUUCGGGUUGUGAACCUCUUUCGCCAGUGAAGCAGGCCUGCCUCGUUUGUGGGUGGGUUGACGGUAGCUGGAGAAGAAGCGCCGGCUAACUACGUG
rnacentral:rRNA from 1 species